rnacentral:rRNA from 1 species
UACAGAGGGUGCAAGCGUUGUUCGGAAUUAUUGGGCGUAAAGAGCUCGUAGGCGGUUUGUUGCGUCGGCCGUGAAAACCUGCAGCUUAACUGUGGGCCUGCGGCCGAUACGGGCAGACUUGAGUUCGGUAGGGGAGACUGGAAUUCCUGGUGUAGCGGUGAAAUGCGCAGAUAUCUGGAGGAAUACCGGUGGCGAAGGCGGCAUCCUGGACCGGCAUUGACGCUGAGUGAGCGAAAGCCAGGGGAGCAAACGGG